rnacentral:rRNA from 1 species
GAUGAACGCUGGCGGCGUGCCUAAUACAUGCAAGUCGAGCGAACGGACGAGAAGCUUGCUUCUCUGAUGUUAGCGGCGGACGGGUGAGUAACACGUGGAUAACCUACCUAUAAGACUGGGAUAACUUCGGGAAACCGGAGCUAAUACCGGAUAAUAUUUUGAACCGCAUGGUUCAAAAGUGAAAGACGGUCUUGCUGUCACUUAUAGAUGGAUCCGCGCUGCAUUAGCUAGUUGGUAAGGUAACGGCUUACCAAGGCAACGAUGCAUAGCCGACCUGAGAGGGUGAUCGGCCACACUGGAACUGAGACACGGUCCAGACUCCUACGGGAGGCCGCAGUAGGGAAUCUUCCGCAAUGGGCGAAAGCCUGACGGAGCAACGCCGCGUGAGUGAUGAAGGUCUUCGGAUCGUAAAACUCUGUUAUUAGGGAAGAACAUAUGUGUAAGUAACUGUGCACAUCUUGACGGUACCUAAACAGAAAGCCACGGCUAACUACGUG